CUGUCGCUGCCGCUCGCCGUAUAUUUAGCAGGGAGGUGUCACCGAUGCUGCAGCAGAGAAAAUGUGUUGCUGACACUCAGGGCCCCCCCCCCCCCUCCGAGGGUCCCAGCGCGAGAACCCGGGAUUACUGUCCCGCAGGCCACCAGCUCUACACAUUAAACGCAGCUGAAGGGAGGGAAUUGAACCUGUCCCAGAUCUCAGAGCAGUGAGCAUCAGCUGUCAAGCCCGGGAAAUGGCGCCCGGCGGCAGGUUCCCAAAGAAAUCCAGGUUCUGGGGAGUUCUGGUCCUUGGAGUUACCAUGGAAACCAUGUACUGCAUGUAGAGGCAGACAGAUCUGAGGGACACACGGUUCUGUAUACGCUGAUCUCCAUCGUGUCCUCAUUCAACCCGGGUGUGACGUCACGGAACCUCCAACAUUUUCUAGAACAUAGUUUCUGCAGAGCGCCAGGAGUUCAUUAGGAGUUCUCCUCCGAGUUGUGAGUGGAACCGUAGGGGCGGAGCAACCCCAUCUUUGGCUCUGCAUUGCUGAGAGCUCUCUAUUUACAUUCUGUCCCGCUGGCUAACAGCCACUCACACCUCCAACCUAACCUGACCCUGGCGGUGUGAGGGGCGAGCUGAAUACGAGCAAAGGGAAACAAAGACGUUCAUGGAUCCGUUUGUCUGUAAGCGGAUGCUUCAGGAUGGAGUUUGUGGACCCGACCAGCGCAUUUUCUACGAUCUUCAUCAAACCACAUCUUUUCGUCGGCUCCUGAUUCAUGAUGUGGAUGUAGAAAUACUCAGAAAUGUGUUUUCCUACAUUUCUUUAUAUACGGGACUUCAAGACGGAGGAGUGGAGGUGCCGUUGGGAGACCUUUUCAUUCCGGUGGUUGCGUGCGACACUGCUUUAAAGUUUACCAAAACGCUUCCUUCUGCACACCUGACGGUCACAUGACCAGCAGGAUCAGCUGGUCUUCUUUCCCUUCUGGUUACGGAGCCUUCUUUUUUGUUUUUUGUUUUUGCUGAAGGAGCAGCUCUCGAGCCUGCUGCCGCAUCCAAACAUUAAAGUUGGGACUUUGACAUUCAUGCCCGGCAGGAAAAAUCCAGACUUUAGAUUUUGAUGAAAUAAUCAUCAGCUGUUCCUUAAAGGUUGGUGUGGAUUCAGAAAACCCCACUGGGUUGUUAGAGGCCUCUGUUGGGACCGGCGCCCGCCUUUGACGCUUCCAGAGGCUGAAACGUUUCGGUUUCUCUGAAUCUUUGCUUUCCUGUUUUAUUGACUUCUGGACUCGAUGAGACAUUGGAUCCCAACUUUCUGUCCUUUUCUAGAAUUCAAAGUUCUCUGACAGCUGAAGAGAUGCAGAAACACAAAGAAGCACAGAAAUGAUCCUUUCUGGAACCGCCGCCUCCUCCUGACCCUCAUCUGCAGGAUUAAAAUCCUUCUCUCAUGAGAAGCGGCCAUCUUUGGUUCCUGCCAAAGCAAAACCUCCGGCCCUUGGAGGACGGCGAAGGAGCGCGCAGCGUUUUCUGCGUUUUGUGUUUUGGAGAAGCCGUUUGAAGCUGGGAUGUCUGAGGGAUCCAGUUACUAUGAAAGCCAUGAGCGCGUGUAAACCAACCCAUCCUCCCCCAGCUGCCGGGCAUGCCGUCCAGCAUUCCUGCCCCGUGUCCGUCUGACGUCCUCGCAGACCUUCUCCCUCCUGUUCACCGUCUCCGCUCGCACAAAACAAGGUCACCGUUGGUGCGGGAAAACGUGGAAACAGACGGCUGCAUUGGUUUCUGUGAAGACCAAAAGCAGAUCAUGUCUGACUGGAGGAGGUGUGGCUCAAACCAGACGAAGAACACCUUCCAAAAACAGGAAAAAACCCUAAAUGACAGCAUUUGAAGGAGGCAGGAGGAGGUCUGGAUCACAGGAAGACUGGAGAAUGAUCUCAGCAGGAAAAGUAGGAGGGGCACAUUGACUUUGCUCCGCCCACCUCAACAAUUUGUCUUAAAUGGUCAUUUGGGUGGGCUUAAAAAAAAGUUGGCUUGAGUCAAUGGUGCACCCACCUGUGAAUCAAUGAAGCUCCUCCCACUUAUCCAGAUGUUUGAGCGCAAGUCAAAUCUGAACUGAGUGACACCCCCCCCCCACACACGAUCGUCAAGAAUAAAAAAUAAAGCUGUAAAACAUACUUUUUGGGGGGAUUUGAACACUGAAGUAACCUGCCUCCAGUGGUCACUUCAGGAACUGCAGGAAUCGUCGGGUUCGCCUCCACCUCUGGAGCAGAAUGUGGAGGUUUGGUGUCGGAGGCUGGAGGUCGGUUCUGUCCCUGUCCGGACUAAGAGUGUCCGAGCUCCAUGUUUGUAGAUGGAACUCCAGUUUUUCUGUUUUUUAUUUUACUUUUCUGAUUUCCUCGGAACAUUUUGAAGGUCCAAAAGCAGUUUUGGAGGAAGGAGGUGGCAAAAGGAGGAGAAGAACAAACAGAAGGAGGUGAAAAGAAUAAAAUAAACUUUUAACUGAACAGUGUUUGUCUCUGGGAUUUAAGAUCCAGAACCAGGAGCCCCCACAGGAACGACCCCACCCAGUAUGAAGGGACAACUUCACUGAUCAGCCUGAAGAUGAUGGAUCCAAUGUAGAAACAAGGAAACAGAUCAUUUAAAGGCCAGUUAGGCUCAGAGGUCACAAAAGUCGAGGUCACAGGGGGGGUCAGAGGCCACAGCGCCGCCUGGACUCUGGUUUCACCCGUGCGGCAGAAACACGACGAAACCCUCGGUGGCGCAUUUCUUCAUCGGCGUGGACAAAUGCAAACCGCCUGUCGCAGCAGAAGAUCUCCAAACUCCAAAAAAGGAGUUCGGCCUUAAAACUGCUGAUGAAGAUUUGAAGAAGAGGAUGAUAGAAAUACUCUUCUCUGUCGACGUCGCUACAUUCAUGAUUUUUCAAGCAGUUUAACAAUGACAUGAAAUGUGAAGAUUUGCAUCAUUUUGUUUAAAACAACGAUGAAUCCGUCUUCUAAACCUGUGGUUGCUGGAGCCUAUCCCAGACAAAGGGGAGGUUCACUCUACAUUGGUUUUCUAUUAGAGGGCUUGUAAGAACGUUUUUCAAUAAAAACUCCAUAUCUAUU